rnacentral:lncRNA from 1 species
GGAACCCAGGACACAGAGUUGAGAGGGGGUGAGGGGUAGAGGCAGGUAAAGAACGAAAUCUUAAUUCUCAUUUCAGUGACACUUUCCUCAACUUUUCCUGUCCUUCCCCAUCAGGUUGUUAGCCAGGGGCCUGAGGAGGGAUAAAGGAACUGCAGUCCCGGCUCCCUCCAUUAGGAAGAAUGUCUGGGGUGUUGGCCUGGAACGCUGAUGAGUUGAUUUCCUUCUAUCUCCACAGCAUAGGUUUACCAGGGAGAAAAGAAAGAUAUUAAAGCCAUGACAGCAAACAGCCCCUUUCUCCUAAGGUUCCUGAUUUGAAGUGGCAAAACAAGGCAGUGGCAUAGUCUCCUGUCCUAUGUCCUUGGCAUGCAGCCUCCACCCAGCUCUGGCUGCAGAGGGCCGCACUCCGCUUGUACCGCAAUUCAUGCACAGUCCAGACUUAUACAGCAGCCGGCAACCCUAAGGGCAGGAUGAUUCCGAGACACACCAAAUCUUUGGCUUCAGGUCACAUGUUGCUCUGGAGAACCGAGAAGGGUGAGCAGACACCAAUCAUGACCCCAAACAGCAAGAGGACAGAAGGGAUCCCCCCUACUCCACAGCUUGACGGCAGAGCAGUGACCAGAAUAUAUGCUCAGGAAGGCCAAAGAGAUGAAGCCGCAGCUGCCUCUUUUUUUUUUUUGAGACAGUCUCAUUCUGUUGCCCGGGCUGGAGUGCAGUGGUGCGAUCUCGGCUCACUGUAACCUCCACCUCCCAGGUUCAAGCAAUUCUCGUACCUCAGCCUCCCAGGUAGCUGGAACUAUACAGGUGUACCAUCACACCCGGCUAAUUAUUUUUUGUCUUUUUUUGUAGAGAUGGGGUUUCGCCAUGUUGGUCAGGCUGGUCUCGAACUCCUGGCCUCAGGUGAUCCACGCACCUCCGCCUCCCAAAGUCCUGGGAUUAGAGGCGUGAGCCACCGUGCCCAGCCAGGCUUGCUUCUCUGAGCCAUACCCUUCUGUUGGAACAAGCAUCCUUUCUAUUAAAAGCAAUAAAUCUCCUCUUA